GACGAACGCUGGCGGCGUGCUUAACACAUGCAAGUCGAACGGUGAAGCCCUUCGGGGUGGAUCAGUGGCGAACGGGUGAGUAACACGUGAGCAACCUGCCCCUGGCUCUGGGACAACCACUGGAAACGGUGGCUAAUACCGGAUACGACCCGCCUCGGCAUCGAGUGUGGGUGGAAAGUUUUUCGGCUGGGGAUGGGCUCGCGGCCUAUCAGCUUGUUGGUGAGGUGAAGGCUCACCAAGGCGACGACGGGUAGCCGGCCUGAGAGGGCGACCGGCCACACUGGGACUGAAACACGGCCCAGACUCCUACGGGAGGCAGCAGUGGGGAAUAUUGCACAAUGGGCGAAAGCCUGAUGCAGCGACGCCGCGUGAGGGAUGACGGCCUUCGGGUUGUAAACCUCUUUCAGCUCCGAAGAAGCGAAAGUGACGGUAGGAGCAGAAGAAGCACCGGCUAACUACGUG
rnacentral:rRNA from 1 species